AGCUUCGACUAAGGUUCGACUCGAGCGAAGCGAGAGAACGUUGCCGCAGGCAACGGCCCGAAGGGCGAGGAGCGAUAGCGACGAGUUAUCCUUCCCCCACCACUG
rnacentral:sRNA from 1 species